rnacentral:snoRNA from 1 species
UGAGGACAAAGGAUGAAUCUCAUAAUCAAAUGGGUAAUUUGCGUCUGAAAUUUUCAUUGAUGCUACAUCACCUUGGAGAACUGAUGUCCCUU